rnacentral:rRNA from 1 species
GGGGUGCUUCCAUCUGGAAGAAUCUGGAGACAGGUGCUGCAUGGCCGUCGUCAGCUCGUGUCGUGAGAUGUUGGGUUAAGUCCCGCAACGAGCGCAACCCUUGCCUUUAGUUGCCAGCAGUUCGGCUGGGCACUCUAAAGGGACUGCCGGUGUUAAACCGGAGGAAGUGGGGAUGACGUCAAGUCCUCAUGGCCUUUAUGACCAGGGCUACACACGUACUACAAUGGCCGAUACAAAGGGCAGCGACACUGCGAGGUGAAGCCAAUCCCGUAAAAUCGGUCUCAGUCCGGAUUGGAGUCUGCAACUCGACUCCAUGAAGUUGGAAUCGCUAGUAAUCGUGGAUCAGCAUGCCACGGUGAAUACGUUCCCGGGCCUU